GUGCUCACUUCAGCAGCACAUAUACUAAAAUUGGAAUGUUACAGAGAUUAGCAUGACCACUCUGCAAGAAUGACAUGAAAAUUCGUGAAGCAUUCCAUACUUUU